rnacentral:rRNA from 1 species
UACGGAGGGUGCGAGCAUUAAUCGGAUUUAUUGGGCGUAAAGGGCGCGUAGGCGGGGGUAUAAGUCAUAUGUGAAAUCCCAGGGCUCAACUCUGGACACGCAUAUGAGACUGUAUCUCUUGAGGGUAGGCGGAGAAAGCGGAAUUCCACAUGUAGCGGUGAAAUGCGUAGAUAUGUGGAGGAACACCGGUGGCGAAGGCGGCUUUCUAGCUUAUUUCUGACGCUGAGGCGCGAAAGCAAGGGGAGCAAACAGG